GAAUACAGUCGUGUCUUUAAUAGCAAUAUUUGUGUAUUUCUUAAUACAAUCAACAGGAGUUUUUUCAAGUUCUAGUAAUUCUUUAAAUUCAAG